UACGAGUGCCCCCGAGCGUUAUCCGGAAUCACUGGGCGUAAAGGGCGCGUAGGUGGCUUGGUAAGCGUGUGGUGAAAGUCCGGGGCUCAACCCCGGAUCUGCCGUGCGAACUGCUGAGCUCGAGCAAUGUAGAGGCAGGUGGAAUUUCGGGUGUAGCGGUGGAAUGCGUAGAUAUCCGAAAGAACACCAGUGGCGAAGGCGGCCUGCUGGGCAUUAGCUGACACUGAGGCGCGGCAGCGUGGGGAGCAAACAGGAUUAGAUACCCCUGUAGU
rnacentral:rRNA from 1 species